GGGGAAUAUAACUUUUAUGUAUUGAAGAAAUGCAGUAUAUAAGCGUCAGGAAGGAGUUCAUCUUACAUUCAUUGAUAAGUUCAAGAUGGAAAAUAACUCUGUAGUAUUCGACACAAUGGCGAAUUCCUUUAAUGCUGAGCUGAAGGAGGCAAGUCCGACACAUCACAAAGUAUCAAUCAAUGAAGUAAACAUUAGUAGACUACAUCUUGGAAUUUCAGAAGAAACUUGGAUGGAAUUAUUCACAGCCUACAUCAAGAACAGGACAAGUUUGACCUUAGACUUCUCAAACAUACCCGACAGUGAAUAUUUGAUUGAUGUGGAGUGUGCCUUACGUGAUUUUCUGACUGCAAAGAAGUGUCUGUACGUGAAGUACGAGGACAUAACAAAAAUAAGGACAGACUUGGAUAUGAAUUAUUCAACAUGGAUGUACAUGCUUAGAAAAUACAUGAGUACUUAUCAUUCUGAUAUAGAACUCGAGUGGUGUGAGCACAGUUUGGACCCAAAUUCGGAUUGUACUUGUAAUAUCAAGACGGAACCCAAAAUGAUAGAUGGAGCAGACAAGGUCUACGUGAACAUUUUAACAUUAUUAUUAGACCACCACGUUGUAAGAAAUUGGAGAUAGAAUAAAUAUUUUUUGCUACAUGAAUUAGCUAUGAAACAUGUAACACAGUACAGUAAAUAAAGUCUCAUACUGUUCAUUUAACAUUGUUUUGUUUUUUAUUUCAAUGAACAGUUAGAGCUGAACAAUAACCAGGAAUUUCUGGUUAUAAGUUCUCAUAUAGAAGUCUGCGAAACAACUGUGACGUUCUUGAUCAAUUUACAGCGUACACAUACAGACAGUGCGUGGCAGUCACAACUGCAUUGAACAGAAUGAAAGUAAAAAGUUCUCUCUGAGUUUUGGAGCUUUAUGGAAUAAUUUGGAGGAUUUGGAAGUAACAAAAUGAAAAGAUGGAGGAUCGGAAAAAAACUUUAUGAGAAAAUACAUCUCAGAAUGACUGCCGUUAAAAAUUACCAAGGAUGGAGGCGGAUGCAUGAUACAGGAGCUGAAAAAAAGAGCAACAUGUCCAGACCUGCAAAAUAUUUACAAGCAUAGACUGAAGAAGUGUGAAGCAUACUGAAGUGAUGUGUGUGUGUGUGUUCCACAGCUGUAAAUUAUGGAAAGAAAAGCAGUGCACUGCAGUGAAUUGCACAGGCCAAGAUGUCUCAAGUUGUACAUUCAAACAGAAGUGAUGGGUGACAGGCUUUUA
rnacentral:lncRNA from 1 species